AAUGAACGCUGGCGGCAGGCCUAACACAUGCAAGUCGAACGGAUCCUUCGGGAUUAGUGGCGGACGGGUGAGUAACGCGUGGGAACAUACCCUUUGGUACGGAAUAGCCUCGGGAAACUGGGAGUAAUACCGUAUGUGGUCGAGAGACGAAAGAUUUAUCGCCAAAGGAUUGGCCCGCGUUGGAUUAGGUAGUUGGUGGGGUAAUGGCCUACCAAGCCCACGAUCCAUAGCUGGUUUGAGAGGAUGAUCAGCCACACUGGGGCUGAGACACGGACCAGGCUCCUACGGGAGGCAGCAGUGGGUAAUCUUAGACAAGGGGGGAAACCCUGAUCUAGCCAUGCCGCGUGAUCGAGGAAGGCCUUAGGAUUGUAAAGAUCUUUCAGGUGGGAAGAUAAUGACUGUACCACCAGAAGAAGCCCCGGCUAACUCCGUGCCAGCCGCCGCCGUAACAC
rnacentral:rRNA from 1 species